ensembl:lncRNA
GAACUGAGAUCUGACUGGGGAGAGUCUUGAGUGCCAUGCUGAGAAUCACACUUCAUCCUUUGAGUCUAAGCCAUCACAGUCUGGGUCUGGAACGCUAUUCCAGUUGCAGAGUGCAAGAAGAUAAGCUCCACAGGGACAGAGAACUAACGGUAUUCAUUGAUGGUCGAACAGGAACACAAGAAAUACUUGUUGGAUCAUUGAAUAAAUGAACAGUGCCAUCUGCCCUCUGCAUCAGCAGGACUCCCAGGAGGAGGUCACCAUCAGCUGGAAGGAAUCAGUGCCAAUGGCUCCACCUCGCACCCCUGACCUCUGUUACCACCUCUUUCGGAGACACCAUGGUCUCUUAGAAGCCCGGCUUUGCAAUGUCUGAAGCCCCUGUGAUGGAAACUUGAGAGAGCAGGUGGGAUGGCUGACAUUGGCAUAGCACCUACUGUAUACCUGGGCUUCCCAGGUGGCACUAGUGGUAAAGAGCCCGCCUGCCAAUGCAGGAGACACAAGAGACUCAGGUUCGAUCCCUGGUUUGGGAAGAUCUCCUGGAGGAUGGCAUGACAACCCACCCCAGUAUUUUUGCCUGGAGAAUCCCAUGGACAGAGGAGGCUGGCAGGCUACAGUCCAUGGGGUCGCACAGAGUUGGAC